rnacentral:snoRNA from 1 species
AUUCUUUUGCGGUUCAUAAGCAUGAUGAAUGGGUGUUCAUGCAUUUGUGUGAGAUGUGCCUCCCUCAAACUUUGUUACAUCGUUGGCACAUUACCUGGCUGACA